UCGCUAUCGGAGGGAAGUUAAGAGACCUGAUCUGGGACUUCGAUCAAUUGUAUACAUCUGGACUGGGAGUGAUAACGUUGUGAAGUGGACGGAGUCAUCGUUGGGUGAGUGCUGGCUCUAUUUGCACUAAGAGUGGGUGUGCCGUGUCUGAAGUGGUGUGUUUGCACAAUAAAUCGUUUGAAGUGAAGUUACAGAGUGUGGGGAAGAUAUAUAGAGUUAAUGCCGGACGCUCACCACCCCGAGAGCCCACCACCGUCACCGUAAUCCACACCCAGGCACUCAACUGAAGUAUCCCCCAACCGUAAGCCCAUUGCUCAUUCAAGAACACAUACAUGCUGUUGAUUACUUACCCCGCUGUGUAGAUCGCAGGAUCCUCUGGGCCGAACGCCGCAUGUGAUGUCCCUAUGAAAGGAGGUGGACACAAGAAUUAUUCCUUUCCCGGUCUUAACCGAAGCAUCUCCCAGCCGUAAGCCCCACUACUUAUUCAAGAACACAUACUUGCUGUUGAUUACUUACUCUGCUGUGCAGAUCGCAGGAUCCUCUGGGCCGAAUGCUGUAUGUGAUGUCCCUGUAGAAAGAGGUGGACACACGAAUUAUUCCUUUUCCGGUCUUAACCGAAGCAUCUCCCAGCCGUAAGCCCCACUACUUAUUCAAGAACACAUACUUGCUGUUGAUUACUUACUCUGCUGUGCAGAUCGCAGGAUCCUCUGGGCCGAACGCCGCAUGUGAUGUCCCUAUGAAAAGAGGUGGACACACGAAUUAUUCCUUUCCCGGUCUUAACCGAAGCAUCUCCCAGCCGUAAGCCCCAUUACUUAUUCAAGGACACAUACUUACUGUUGAUUACUUACCCCGCUGUGCAGAUCGCAGGAUUCUCUGGGCCGAAUGCUGCAUGUGAUGUCCCUGUAGAAGGAGGUGGACACGAGAAUUAUUCCUUUUCCCGGUCUCGACCGAAACAUCCACGAGCUCUACUUACCCGGAUACCCCCCCCUCACUCCGGGACGGGUGACAGACUAUCCUGGCUCUUGCUGGCCCCGUACAGGCACGAACUGUUGACGACUCCACGCCUUCCCGGCGUCCGAGGUCUGGCUCCGUUCUGGUCGGGAGACACGGAAGGAACACUGAACUUUUAAAUUGCUUUUAACCAAAUAAAACCUUGUUCAUUUUUU